CAUGUACUCCCUCCGUUUGGAAUUACUUGUCUCGGAAAUGGAUGUAUCUAGAACUAAAAUACGUCUAGAUACAUUCAUUUCUGCGACAAGUAAUUCCGAACGGAGGGAGUACUAU
rnacentral:pre_miRNA from 1 species